GACGAACGCUGGCGGCGUGCCUAAUACAUGCAAGUUGAGCGAUGAAGAUUGGUGCUUGCACCAAUUUGAAGAGCAGCGAACGGGUGAGUAACGCGUGGGGAAUCUGCCUUUGAGCGGGGGACAACAUUUGGAAACGAAUGCUAAUACCGCAUAACAACUUUAAACAUAAGUUUUAAGUUUGAAAGAUGCAAUUGCAUCACUCAAAGAUGAUCCCGCGUUGUAUUAGCUAGUUGGUGAGGUAAAGGCUCACCAAGGCGAUGAUACAUAGCCGACCUGAGAUGGUGAUCGGCCACAUUGGGACUGAGACACGGCCCAAACUCCUACGGGAGGCAGCAGUAGGGAAUCUUCGGCAAUGGACGAAAGUCUGACCGAGCAACGCCGCGUGAGUGAAGAAGGUUUUCGGAUCGUAAAACUCUGUUGGUAGAGAAGAACGUUGGUGAGAGUGGAAAGCUCAUCAAGUGACGGUAACUACCCAGAAAGGGACGGCUAACUACGUG
rnacentral:rRNA from 1 species